AUAAUGUUUGAGUCCAGACUAGGCAAGAUGUUGGCAUAGCUGAGUCAUAUAUGAACCAUCAGCUGUGUCUCAUAUUGCUAUCUUUGGGCUUGUUGUUGCAU
rnacentral:pre_miRNA from 1 species